GAAGGCUCUGGGGUUGUAAAGCACUUUAAGCAGGGAGAAAAAGUUAUAAGUUAAUACCUUAUAACCGUGAUGUUACCUGCAGAAUAAGCACCGGCUAAUUCCGUGCCAGCAGCCGCGGUAAUACGGAAGGUGCAAGCGUUAAUCGGAAUUACUGGGCGUAAAGCGCGCGUAGGUGGUUUGUUAAGUUGGAUGUGAAAGCCCUGGGCUCAACCUAGGAACUGCAUCCAAAACUAACUCACUAGAGUACGAUAGAGGGAGGUAGAAUUCAUAGUGCAGCGGUGGAAUGCGUAGAUAUUAUGGAGAAUACCAGUGGCGAAGGCGGCCUCCUGGAUCUGUACUGACACUGAGGUGCGAAAGCGUGGGUAGCGAACAGGAUUAGAUACCCUGGUAGUCCACGCCGUAAACGAUGACAACUAGCUGUUGGGAGACAAUGUCUUUCAGUGGCGCAGCUAACGUUU
rnacentral:rRNA from 1 species